rnacentral:rRNA from 1 species
UGAGGAAUAUUGGUCAAUGGGCGGAAGCCUGAACCAGCCAUGCCGCGUGCAGGAAGACGGCCCUACGGGUUGUAAACUGCUUUUCCGGGGGAAGAAUAAUCCCGACGUGUCGGGAGAUGCCGGUACCCCGGGAAUAAGGAUCGGCUAACUCCGUGCCAGCAGCCGCGGUAAUACGGAGGAUCCGAGCGUUAUCCGGAUUUACUGGGUUUAAAGGGUGCGUAGGCGGGCGCUUAAGUCAGCGGUGAAAUGCGGGGGCUCAACCUUCGAACGGCCGUUGAUACUGGGCGCCUUGGAUUCGGUCGAGGCGGGCGGAAUGCGACAUGUAGCGGUGAAAUGCUUAGAUAUGUCGCAGAACGCCGAUUGCGAAGGCAGCUCGCCGGGCCGAUAUUGACGCUGAGGCACGAAAGCGUGGGGAUCGAACA